AACGAACGCUGGCGGCAUGCCUAACACAUGCAAGUCGAACGAGACCUUCGGGUCUAGUGGCGCACGGGUGCGUAACGCGUGGGAACCUGCCCUUAGGUUCGGAAUAACUCCCCGAAAGGGGUGCUAAUACCGGAUAAUGUCUUCGGACCAAAGAUUUAUCGCCUUUGGAUGGGCCCGCGUUGGAUUAGCUAGUUGGUAGGGUAAAAGCCUACCAAGGCGACGAUCCAUAGCUGGUCUGAGAGGAUGAUCAGCCACACUGGGACUGAGACACGGCCCAGACUCCUACGGGAGGCAGCAGUGGGGAAUAUUGGACAAUGGGCGAAAGCCUGAUCCAGCAAUGCCGCGGGAGUGAUGAAGGCCUUAGGGUUGUAAAGCUCUUUUACCCGGGAUGAUAAUGACAGUACCGGGAGAAUAAGCUCCGCUAACUCCGUG
rnacentral:rRNA from 1 species